CAUGGAAUGAACAAAGGCUGCUCUUUG
rnacentral:piRNA from 1 species